rnacentral:rRNA from 1 species
GUUUGAGCCUGGCCCAUGAGUACCACGUGGGUAACCUGCCUGUAAGACUGGGAUAACUCCGGGAAACCGGGGCUAAUACCGGAUGCUUGUUUGAACCGCAUGGUUCAAACAUAAAAGGUGGCUUCGGCUACCACUUACAGAUGGACCCGCGGCGCAUUAGCUAGUUGGUGAGGUAACGGCUCACCAAGGCAACGAUGCGUAGCCGACCUGAGAGGGUGAUCGGCCACACUGGGACUGAGACACGGCCCAGACUCCUACGGGAGGCAGCAGUAGGGAAUCUUCCGCAAUGGACGAAAGUCUGACGGAGCAACGCCGCGUGAGUGAUGAAGGUUUUCGGAUCGUAAAGCUCUGUUGUUAGGGAAGAACAAGUACCGUUCGAAUAGGGCGGUACCUUGACGGUACCUAACCAGAAAGCCACGGCUAACUACGUGCCAGCAGCCGCGGUAAUACGUANGNGUNGGCNAAGNCGUUGUCCGGAAUUAUUGGGCGUAAAGGGCUCNGCAGGCGGUUUCUUAAGUCUGAUGUGAAAGCCCCCGGNCUCAACCGGGGAGGGUCAUUGGAAACUGGGGAACUUGAGUGCAGAAGAGGAGAGUGGAAUUCCACGUGUAGCGGUGAAAUGCGUAGAGAUGUGGAGGAACACCAGUGGCGANAGGCNGNANCUNCNUNCUGNGUNCUGNUAACUGACGNCUGAGGAGCGAAAGCGUGGGGAGCGAACAGNGAUUAGAUACCCUGGUNAGUCCACGCCGUAAACGAUGAGUGCUAAGUGUUAGGGGGUUUCCGCCCCUUAGUGCUGCAGCUAACGCAUUAAGCACUCCGCCUGGGGAGUACGGUCGCAAGACUGAAACUCAAAGGAANUUGACNGGGGGNCCCGCNACAAGCNGGUGGAGCAUNGUNGGUUUAAUUNCGAAGCAACGCGAAGAANCCUUNACCAGGUCUUGACAUCCUCUGACAAUCCUAGAGAUAGGACGUCCCCUUCGGGGGCAGAGUGACAGGUGGUGCAUGGUUGUCGUCAGCUCGUGUCGUGAGAUGUUGGGUUAAGUCCCGCAACGAGCGCAACCCUUGAUCUUAGUUGCCAGCAUUCAGUUGGGCACUCUAAGGUGACUGCCGGUGACAAACCGGAGGAAGGUGGGGAUGACGUCAAAUCAUCAUGCCCCUUAUGACCUGGGCUACACACGUGCUACAAUGGACAGAACAA